AGGAGGAACAACCCCAGUGGCGGGGCCAGCUGUGGAGCCCUGGAUUCAGCCCCCGCAGUAAUUCCGGAGCUCUCGGUCUGCAGGGCCUGGAGGCUCCGGGGCGGG
rnacentral:pre_miRNA from 1 species